UACGUAGGUGGCGAGCGUUGUCCGGAAUUACUGGGUGUAAAGGGCGUGUAGGCGGGGAUAUAAGUCAGAUGUGAAAUACCGUAGCUUAACUACGGGGCUGCAUCUGAAACUAUGUUUCUUGAGUGUCGGAGAGGAAAGCGGAAUUCCCAGUGUAGCGGUGAAAUGCGUAGAUAUUGGGAGGAACACCAGUGGCGAAGGCGGCUUUCUGGACGAUAACUGACGCUGAGGCGCGAAAGCGUGGGGAGCGAACAGG
rnacentral:rRNA from 1 species